rnacentral:tRNA from 1 species
UCCUCCUUAGCUCAGUUGGUUAGAGCAUCUGACUGUUAAUCAGAGGGUCGCUGGUUCAAGUCCAGCAGGAGGAGCCA